AAACCCUGACCCAGCAACGCCGCGUGAGGGAAGAAGGUUUUCGGAUCGUAAACCUCUGUCCUUGGUGAAGAGGAAGAGACGGUAGCCAAGGAGGAAGCCCCGGCUAACUACGUGCCAGCAGCCGCGGUA
rnacentral:rRNA from 1 species